UACCUGCAGCUCGAGUGGUAACCGCUAUUAUUGGGCCUAAAGCGUCCGUAGCCGGUUUGGUAAAUAUCUGGGUAAAUCGUGAGGCUUAACUUCACGAAUUUCGGAUAGACUGCCAGACUUGGGAUCGGGGGAGGUCAGAUGUACUCCAGGGGUAGCGGUGAAAUGUUGUAAUCCUUGGAGGACCACCGGUAGCGAAGGCGUCUGACUAGAACGAGUCCGACGGUGAGGGACGAAGCCCUGGGGCGCAAACCGGAUUAGAUACCCGGGUAGUCCAGGGUGUAAACUAUGUGGGCUUUGUAUUGGAGGUCCCACGUGGGCGUCCAGUGCAGAAGAGAAGUUGUUAAGCCCACCGCCUGGGAAGUACGGUCGCAAGGCUGAAACUUAAAGGAAUUGGCGGGGGAGCACAGCAACGGGAGGAGCGUGCGGUUU
rnacentral:rRNA from 1 species